rnacentral:rRNA from 1 species
AAAUUGAAGAGUUUGAUCAUGGCUCAGAUUGAACGCUGGCGGCAGGCCUAACACAUGCAAGUCGAACGGUAACAGGAAACAGCUUGCUGUUUCGCUGACGAGUGGCGGACGGGUGAGUAAUGUCUGGGAAACUGCCUGAUGGAGGGGGAUAACUACUGGAAACGGUAGCUAAUACCGCAUAACGUCGCAAGACCAAAGAGGGGGACCUUAGGGCCUCUUGCCAUCGGAUGUGCCCAGAUGGGAUUAGCUAGUAGGUGGGGUAAAGGCUCACCUAGGCGACGAUCCCUAGCUGGUCUGAGAGGAUGACCAGCCACACUGGAACUGAGACACGGUCCAGACUCCUACGGGAGGCAGCAGUGGGGAAUAUUGCACAAUGGGCGCAAGCCUGAUGCAGCCAU